ACGGCUUGUACGCUGCAGACGAGGUAAGCGAGCAGCAUUUUUGUCGAAGUAAUCGCGCGCCUUGAGCUAGCUGCCUUAUUUUUACAGACGAGAAAAAUUGUUUUAUCAAGAACGUUAGGUUCAGUGCCUUCGUGUCAAUUUCUUAGGCAAAAUGUAAAAUUUGCGUCACGCUACGAAAGCAAAACAGGGCCACCAGUGUCAUUAUACAUUCCACCGGAUAGACCACAAGACAUUCCGCCAUUUGGCGGAAUGUCUAGAUUAGAGUAUUUGUUCUGGCCAAUAAUUCUCAGUCACAUAACAUGCUUGCUUCUUUAACUGCAUCCUGUGGCAGAUACCAGGAAAGUGCGUUCGAUCAUCUGCCAGGCCUAUAAGACAGCGCUUGUUAUCCCUUCGACUUAGAGAAAGAAAUUCAACAAGAGGGGACAAUCUUCAAAAACUGGCAACAGGAAACACGUCACGCCUAGUUUCAACUCCAUCCGUUAGUUGACGCAAGCAUCGGAAAAAAACAGAAUUUGAAAUCAACUUACAAACAACGUUUGCUUUUUUUUAUUCUUUCCCACUCAAAGUGGAAAUGUUUUGCGUGUAAAUGAACUUCUACUUGGCGACUUAUUUUUGUUGCGUUGCUUAGCAGCAAGCUAGCGGCACGCCAGACGCGCGUGCAUACGUCAUGCGCCAGACAAGUCGCAGGAGUGAGCGAGGCCGGCUGCGGAUGUGAAGCUCGCGUGCUCGGCGACCCGUCUUUUUUUGGAUGCAGCCCGUUUUUUGGGCUCCCGGCGUUCUUUUGUGUUCCGUCUGCAUUUCGGCACAGCACCACUGCACUACUGGACUACAACAAGGAAGUAAUGCCCGGGAAGAGAGGGAUGCCUGAAAAUCGGAUGCUUUCUUCACAUUUUAUGGCAUUGUUUGGGAGGAGUCUUUGCUGCGAAAUGUGCGUAAAAGUGAAUUUAUCAGUAAUGCCGCUCAUUCACCACUUACGCACGUUUCGCCUCUACACGUAAUACUCCUGUUAGGUCAGUUUACCAGAAUGAUUCGUGCUUGUAAUUUACUUUGUUUCAGCUGAUGGCAUGCGGUGGAGCUUCGUACGGCAACGACUGGUGCUUACCUGGUGCCACAACUUUGGAUGAAUGCAGUAGCCCGGAAGAAGCAUCUAUAUAGAGCAAAAUAAACAUUUCAUCAUUUCAGAA